rnacentral:rRNA from 1 species
GACGAACGCUGGCGGCGUGCUUAACACAUGCAAGUCGAACGGAAAGGCCCUGCUUUUGUGGGGUGCUCGAGUGGCGAACGGGUGAGUAACACGUGAGUAACCUGCCCUUGACUUUGGGAUAACUUCAGGAAACUGGGGCUAAUACCGGAUAGGAGCUCCUGCUGCAUGGUGGGGGUUGGAAAGUUUCGGCGGUUGGGGAUGGACUCGCGGCUUAUCAGCUUGUUGGUGGGGUAGUGGCUUACCAAGGCUUUGACGGGUAGCCGGCCUGAGAGGGUGACCGGCCACAUUGGGACUGAGAGACGGCCCAGACUCCUACGGGAGGCAGUAGUGGGGAAUAUUGCACAAUGGGCGGAAGCCUGAUGCAGCAACGCCGCGUGCGGGAUGACGGCCUUCGGGUUGUAAACCGCUUUCGCCUGUGACGAAGCGUGAGUGACGGUAAUGGGUAAAGAAGCACCGGCUAACUACGUG